rnacentral:rRNA from 1 species
UACGUAGGGUGCGAGCGUUGUCCGGAAUUAUUGGGCGUAAAGAGCGUGUAGGCGGCCAGGUAGGUCAGCUGUGAAAACUCGAGGCUCAACCGCGAGACGCCGGUUGAAACCAUCUGGCUAGAGUCCGGAAGAGGAGAGUGGAAUUCCUGGUGUAGCGGUGAAAUGCGCAGAUAUCAGGAAGAACACCCGUGGCUAAGGCGGCUCUCUAGUACGGUACUGACGCUGAGACGCGAAAGCGUGGGGAGCGAACAGG